rnacentral:lncRNA from 1 species
CUCCGUACUACAAUUCUUCUAUCUAGCUACCAAGCUACUACUAUCUAAAAGAAAAGAAGUCUAAAAAUGUGUUCAGCUGCCAAGCUUGGCACGUCCCAUCACCAUAAACUUCCACCUAAUCAAAUAUUCAUUCCAUGAAAAUAAAGAAAAUGCUCCCUCCUUCGGCAUCCAGCACACACCGUACACACCUAUUGUAUUCUACCUAAUCUAUUUUUGAAAACUUUGUUUAAUUCUCAAAUAAAAUUGGUGCAGCAGUUCUCAUCAGCCACCUCUACUUUCUAAAAGCCAAAAUAAAUGAAAAUGAAUAAAGAUCCCAUCCAGACCGUGGCACCAUUUUUGCAUUGAAAAGCUUAACCGUGAAGCACUUUCUCCCUUCCAGCCGGUGACACAUCUUCCAAACAUUCAAAAACUCAACUAUUUAAUAAAAAAAAAUACAAAGCAAACCAAGUAAAUCAAAGUAGCUACUGGACCGUGCCCCUUCAUUCAACCAAAUUCAUCCAAUGUCAACAUGUUCAAAAGAUAAAAAAAAUGAAAAACGUUACAGCCAAUUAACAUCCCAGCCCUUUUAAAGUGUGUGGCUCCUCCUUUUAAUCUUCAAUUGCCGAGACCAAAAAGAGAG